UUCAUCCUACGGGGCGAGCAGUGGGGAAUAUUGCACAAUGGGGGGAACCCUGAUGCAGUAAUGCCGCGUGGGUGAAGAAGCACUCCGGUGCGUAAAGCCCUGUCAGCAGGGAAGAAAGUGACAGUACCUGACCAAGAAGCCCCGGCUAACUACGUGCCAGCAGCCGCGGUAAUACGUAGGGGGCAAGCGUUAUCCGGAUUUACUGGGUGUAAAGGGAGCGCAGGCGGCGUGGCAAGUCAGAUGUGAAAACCCGGGGCCCAACCCCGGGAGUGCAUUUGAAACUGCCAUGCUGGAGUGCCGGCGAG
rnacentral:rRNA from 1 species